CCUACGGGGGGCAGCAGUGAGGAAUAUUGGUCAAUGGGCGCGAGCCUGAACCAGCCAAGUCGCGUGAGGGAAGACGGUCCUAUGGAUUGUAAACCUCUUUUGUCGGGGAGCAAAAGACGCCACGCGUGGCGUUCCGAGAGUACCCGAAGAAAAAGCAUCGGCUAACUCCGUGCCAGCAGCCGCGGUAAUACGGAGGAUGCGAGCGUUAUCCGGAUUUAUUGGGUUUAAAGGGUGCGCAGGCGGAAGAUCAAGUCAGUGGUAAAAUUGAGAGGCUCAACCUCUUCGAGCCGUUGAAACUGGUUGUCUUGAGUGAGUGAGAAGUAUGUGGAAUGCGUGGUGUAGCGGUGAAAUGCAUAGAUAUCACGCAGAACUCCGAUUGCGAAGGCAGCAUACCGGCGCUCAACUGACGCUCAUGCACGAAAGUGUGGGUAUCGAACAGGAUUAGAUACCCGGGUAGUC
rnacentral:rRNA from 1 species